rnacentral:misc_RNA from 1 species
UUUCCGUAGGUGAACCUGCGGAAGGAUCAUUAUUGAAAUAAACCUGAUGGGUUGUUGCUGGUUCUCUAGGGAGCAUGUGCACGCAUUGUCAUCUUUAUAUCUCCACCUGUGCACUUUUUGUAGGCCUUUCCAGGUCUAUGUUGCUUCAUUUUACCCCAACUGUAUGUCAUUAGAAUGUUGUGCCUAUAUAACAUAUACAACUUUCAGCAACGGAUCUCUUGGCUCUCGCAUCGAUGAAGAACGCAGC